GACGAACGCUGGCGGCGUGCUUAACACAUGCAAGUCGAACGAAGAGCGAUGGAAGCUUGCUUCUAUCAAUCUUAGUGGCGAACGGGUGAGUAACGCGUAAUCAACCUGCCCUUCAGAGGGGGACAACAGUUGGAAACGACUGCUAAUACCGCAUACGAUCUAAUCUCGGCAUCGAGGAAAGAUGAAAGGUGGCCUCUAUUUAUAAGCUACCACUGAAGGAGGGGAUUGCGUCUGAUUAGCUAGUUGGAGGGGUAACGGCCCACCAAGGCGAUGAUCAGUAGCCGGUCUGAGAGGAUGAACGGCCACAUUGGGACUGAGACACGGCCCAGACUCCUACGGGAGGCAGCAGUGGGGAAUCUUCCGCAAUGGACGAAAGUCUGACGGAGCAACGCCGCGUGAGUGAUGACGGCCUUCGGGUUGUAAAGCUCUGUUAAUCGGGACGAAAGGCCUUCUUGCGAACAGUUAGAAGGAUUGACGGUACCGGAAUAGAAAGCCACGGCUAACUACGUG
rnacentral:rRNA from 1 species